rnacentral:misc_RNA from 1 species
GAGAAGAACGUAGCGAAAUGCGAUAAGUAAUGUGAAUUGCAGAAUUCAGUGAAUCAUCGAGUCUUUGAACGCACAUUGCGCCCAUUAGCAUUCUAGUGGGCAUGCCUGUUCGAGCGUCAUUUCAACCCUUAAGCCCUGUUGCUUAGCGUUGGGAGCCUACAGUACUGUAGCUCCCCAAAGUUAGUGGCGGAGUCGGUUUCACACUCUAGACGUAGUAAUUUUUUCUCGUCUGUAGUUGAGCCGGUCCCCUGCCGUAAAACACCCAAUUUAUCAAGGUUGACCUCGGAUCAGGUAGGAAUACCCGCUGAACUUAAGCAUAUCAAUAAGCGGAGGA